AUUGAACGCUGGCGGCAUGCCUUACACAUGCAAGUCGAACGGCAGCACGGGAGCAAUCCUGGUGGCGAGUGGCGAACGGGUGAGUAAAGCAUCGGAACGUGCCCAGUCGUGGGGGAUAACGUAGCGAAAGUUACGCUAAUACCGCAUACGAUCUGUGGAUGAAAGCGGGGGACCGUAAGGCCUUGCGCGAUUGGAGCGGCCGAUGUCAGAUUAGGUAGUUGGUGGGGUAAAGGCUCACCAAGCCGACGAUCUGUAGCUGGUCUGAGAGGACGACCAGCCACACUGGGACUGAGACACGGCCCAGACUCCUACGGGAGGCAGCAGUGGGGAAUUUUGGACAAUGGGCGCAAGCCUGAUCCAGCCAUGCCGCGUGCAGGAUGAUGGCCUUCGGGUUGUAAACUGCUUUUGUACGGAACGAAACGGUGCCUUCUAAUACAGGGCGCUAAUGACGGUACCGUAAGAAUAAGCACCGGCUAACUACGUGCCAGCCGCCGCAGUAAGAC
rnacentral:rRNA from 1 species